rnacentral:rRNA from 1 species
CGACGAUGCGUAGGGGUUCUGAGAGGAAGGUCCCCCACACUGGUACUGAGACACGGACCAGACUCCUACGGAAGGCAGCAG